rnacentral:lncRNA from 1 species
GGCGCCGACGGGCGGGGCGGGUGCGGAUGCGGAUGCCGGACCGUUAAGCUGUUCUGUGCGCUCCGCCACCGGUGCUAAGACGAGCACUCUCCUGGCGGCCGCGAUCCGUCUGGGGAGGCUGCUGCGGAGUGUGGAGACUCGCGUGAGCAUGCCUUUCUCGCUCCUGGGGAGGAGCAAGGAAAGGAUACGGAGCCAAGGGAGCUCCGAGGAGGGAGCCCCCAGAUGCAUGGGGCAGCCAGGAAUGUCCGGGAACCUCCGCUUCCCGUGCCAAGGGCUGGCGAGUUCGUGGGACCCAGAGCGCUUCUUCGGGGCCCCGGGCUUCCCCAGCAUCUAGGGAAAGGACCUUGGCUCCUCUUUGUCAACUGUCUGCCAGGGAGUCCCCGCCUUGAACUUCCUAACCUUUUGUAUCCUGGUUGGGCCUUCCCAUGCUAUCGGAUACUAGAAUGUCAUUCCCAACCUACUCUGGGAUUCUUCACUGAAACCCCUGCUUUAGUCAAGACAGCCAUGCCCCAGUCUGGACCGUUUGCUUGGAACCCAUCAUUUUGCAGGCCACCCCUUCCUUCUCUUAUUCUGGACAUGCACCUUCUGAUUUGAAAAUGUUUAGCCUUUCACCACUACCACCCCACACUGAAAUUAGUCGUCCUUACGCUGGCAUUUGUUGUUGCAAGUCUACAGUCCUUAGAUCUUUCAAGAAGACAAAGAGUAACGCCUGGAACAAAAAGGGAGCAGAUCCUGUGCGGACCUUCCUUUUCUUCAUUUGACCUUUCAGCACGGUUGCCCCCAAAAUCCCCUUGGUCAUUCUAACUUGUUAAUACUAUCCCCCCCCCCCCCCGCCCCGCCGCCGCAAUGAUUCCUUGCUUCUUCUGGUACCAAGCAUCACCAUUGUUAAUGGCUAAAGGGGGUGAAGAUAAUAACAAAACCAGCCUAAAUUAAUGCUGAGAAGUCAUAAACUUGACCCACAGUUCCACUAGUUGACCAAAUCAUUUAACCAGAGACUGAUGUUAUUUGUGUGACUAGGUAUAGCCUGACACAAAGGUCACUUUAGGGACUAUGCUAUAGAUUGUUUGUUACACUCAAAACCAGCAGUAGAUAAAAGUACACAAUGUUGCAGACCUGUAAUCCUGGCCCUCAGGAGGCAAGGCUAGAGGAUCAGAAAUUCAAUAUAAUCCUCAGGUAGGUAGGUAUGUUCAAGCCAAGCCAGGUAUCCAUGAAACCCUGUCUGGGGGCGGUGGAGGGGCUGUGGGGCUGUACAGUCUUUAUCUUACUGAUAACUCAUAAACUGUCGCCUGACCUCAGAAAAGAGUCUAUCUAAACCAAUUUUCAUAGCUUGCCCACAGGCAUCCUUUCACAAGAAUCUACAACCAAAUUCAGCACCCUACACAGCCUACAAGUUGUUUCAUUUCUCUUCCUGUGUUGGAAAUAAGCAUUCAUAUUGUUGUUAACCAGUUGGGAGUUCAUUUAUUUAAUAAAUUCUCAUUGACCCAGAAAAAAAAAAAAAAAAAAA